GGCUCUAUCAUGGCCGAACGGAAUAGAUAUUGACAUCCCUGAACAGCAACUUUAUUGGUGCGACGGAAAUUAUUCCAAAAUUGAAGUGUCCGACCCAGAUGGAAGUAACAGACGGUCUUUGAUCGAAGCGGAAGAUACUCUUGGUGGUCACUACUUUGGCAUUGCCGUGGACGACCGGCAGAUCUAUUUCACUGAUUGGAAAAUCAAUGUCUGGGCGUUCCAUAGAGCCAACAAACACGACGGCAGUAACUUGAGUGUUCGUGCUGCCAGUUUUAUUCCAACGGCCAAGUUAACUGGUGUUCACGUGUACAGAAGUUCAUACCAUUUAUCACGAUCGAACGGCUGCAGUGUAAACAAUGGGGGUUGCCC